rnacentral:rRNA from 1 species
GACAGAGGUGCCGAGCGUUAGGCGGAAUCACUGGGCUUAAAGCGUGUGUAGGCGGAUCGUUAAGUGCCUUGUGAAAUCCCACGGCUCAACCGUGGAACUGCUUGGCAUACUGGCGAUCUUGAGCCACUUAGGGGCUACCGGAACAAAUGGUGGAGCGGUGAAAUGCGUAGAUAUCAUUCGGAACGCCAAUGGUGAAAACAGGUAGCUGGGAGUGUGCUGACGCUGAGACACGAAAGCCAGGGGAGCAAACGGG